rnacentral:rRNA from 1 species
ACGAACGCUGGCGGCGUGCUUAACCCCUGCAAGUCGUACGGUAAGGCCCUUUCGGGGGUACACGAGUGGCGACCGGGUGAGUAACACGUGAGUAACCUGCCCACAACUUUGGGAUAACGCUAGGAAACUGGUGCUAAUACUGGAUAUGUGCUCCUGCUGCAUGGUGGGGGUUGGAAAGCUCCGGCGGUUGUGGAUGGACUCGCGGCCUAUCAGCUUGUUGGUGGGGUAGUGGCCUACCAAGGCGGCGACGGGUAGCCGGCCUGAGAGGGUGACCGGCCACAUUGGGACUGAGAUACGGCCCAGACUCCUACGGGAGGCAGCAGUGGGGAAUAUUGCACAAUGGGCGCAAGCCUGAUGCAGCAACGCCGCGUGCGGGAUGACGGCCUUCGGGUUGUAAACCGCUUUCAGCAGGGACGAAGCUUUUUGUGACGGUACCUGCAGAAGAAGCACCGGCUAACUACGUG